CAGCCGUAAACAAUGUGCGUUAGGUGUGUCGGUAACCACGCGUUACUGAUGCGCCGAAGAGAAAUCGUGAAACGCACCACCUGGGAAGUACGGUCGCAAGGCUGAAACUUAAAGGAAUUGGCGGGGGAGGCACCACAACAGGUGGAGCUUGCGGUUUAAUUGGAUUCAACGCCGGAAAUCUUACCGGGACCGACAGCAACAUGAAGGCCAAGCUGAAGACUUUGCCGGAUUAGCUGAGAGGAGGUGCAUGGCGUAGUCGUGU
rnacentral:rRNA from 1 species